GAGGCGCUGCUUCAACGAUUGUAACUUGGCUUACGUUUUGAGCGCCUGCUGUGCCUGCUCGUACAUUUUUUCGCUUUUGUAGCGAUGGGUCUCCUGUACAAGAUUUUCUGAGAAGUUCGUGCUCCGCUGUGCGUGGCGCCUUGGGCGUUCACUAGGCCGCCAAGAUGGGUGUCCGUAGCUACAAUGAGGAGCUCGGCUUCCUCGAAAAAAUGACAUCAGUGUCGUGGCGUAUCAAGAAAGGGUUCGUGCCAAAUAUGAAGGUUGAAGGAAUUUUCUACGUGAACAACCUCUUAGAGAAGCUGAUGUUCGAAGAGCUGCGGAAUUCGUGCCGCCCAGGAAACGUUGGCGGAUUCCUGCCAGGUGUUAAACAAAUUGGAAAUGUGGCUGCCUUGCCUGGG
rnacentral:lncRNA from 1 species